AUAUUAUUUGAUAUUUUGAGGAAAAAUGGUGCUUGAAUCUACGGUUGUUUGCGUGGACAACAGCGAGUGGAUGAGAAAUGGCGAUUUUCUUCCCACGAGGUUACAAGCA